UGUAUUCUGAAUGGGUGACUCUAACCAUACUGUAUUGUGAAUGGGUGACUCUAGCCAUACUGUUUUGUGAAUGGGUGACUCAAGCCAUACUGUAUUGUGAAUGGGUGACUCAAUCUUGCAGCAAUUUAUAUGUUUAGAUAUGUCAAAUACACACACACACACACACACACCAAGCCGGAGGUCUGAGGUCCUCCCUAUAGCUCCCCUACCAAGCCUGAGGUCUGAGGUCCUCCCUAUAGCUCCCCUACCAAGCCUGAGGUCUGAGGUCCUCCCUAUAGCUCCCCUACCAAGCCUGAGGUCCUCCCUAUAGCUCCCCUACCAAGCCUGAGGUCCUCCCUAUAGCUCCCCUACCAAGCCUGAGGUCUGAGGUCCUCCCUAUAGCUCCCCUACCAAGCCUGAGGUCUGAGGCCCUCCCUAUAGCUCUCCUACCAAGCCUGGGAAACACCAAACUGGGGAUGGGGGAGGGGGGAAAGAGAAAGAGGGGUAGCAGCAAGAGAGACAGAGAGAGAGAUGUACAACAGGAAAUGAGCUGGAGCGAAAGGAAUUCCAAACUGCAUUCAAGACAUGAUUUAAAAAGCCCUGAACAACCCAGUAACUUUGAAAGAACAGGGAGAAGAGAGAUGGAGUUUAAAGAGAUAGAGGAGACCAGUGUUACCCCUAGACAACCUCUGAAGGAGUUUAAAGAGAUAGAGGUGGAGGGAGACCAGUGUUACCCCCUAGACAACCUCUGAAGGAGUUUAAAGAGAUAGAGGAGACCAGUGUUACCCCUAGACAACCUCUGAAGGAGUUUAAAGAGAUAGAGGUGGAGGGAGACCAGUG
ensembl:lncRNA